UAACACAUGCAAGUCGAGGGGCAGCAUGGUCUUAGCUUGCUAAGGCUGAUGGCGACCGGCGCACGGGUGAGUAACACGUAUCCAACCUGCCGUCUACUCUUGGCCAGCCUUCUGAAAGGAAGAUUAAUCCAGGAUGGCAUCAUGAGUUCACAUGUCCGCAUGAUUAAAGGUAUUUUCCGGUAGACGAUGGGGAUGCGUUCCAUUAGAUAGUAGGCGGGGUAACGGCCCACCUAGUCAACGAUGGAUAGGGGUUCUGAGAGGAAGGUCCCCCACAUUGGAACUGAGACACGGUCCAAACUCCUACGGGAGGCAGCAGUGAGGAAUAUUGGUCAAUGGGCGAUGGCCUGAACCAGCCAAGUAGCGUGAAGGAUGACUGCCCUAUGGGUUGUAAACUUCUUUUAUAAAGGAAUAAAGUCGGGUAUGCAUACCCGUUUGCAUGUACUUUAUGAAUAAGGAUCGGCUAACUCCGUGCCAGCAGCCGCGGUAAUACGGAGGAUCCGAGCGUUAUCCGGAUUUAUUGGGUUUAAAGGGAGCGUAGAUGGAUGUUUAAGUCAGUUGUGAAAGUUUGCGGCUCAACCGUAAAAUUGCAGUUGAUACUGGAUGUCUUGAGUGCAGUUGAGGCAGGCGGAAUUCGUGGUGUAGCGGUGAAAUGCUUAGAUAUCACGAAGAACUCCGAUUGCGAAGGCAGCCUGCUAAGCUGCAACUGACAU
rnacentral:rRNA from 1 species